CUCACAGACCAAACCUCAGGGUUGUCCUUGGAGGCUUGGCAAGCAGAGCUGGGCCCCCACUUUCUGAAUGUCCCAUGGAAAUCAGCCACAGAUUGCCAUUAACCCCUGAGAGGACAAGGGCAGUUCUCGACAUCAUUCCAGCAUCAGAGAGGGCUGGCAGGUUCUCAUCUAAAGAAGAAUGGAGAAAUGCCAUCACCCACACAUCAGGAGACUGUUGCGGGGCAGCGACGGAAUACUCCAACGAAGCAGUCAGAAUGCCAGUCCGCCGUGAGCCUGAACACCAGGGUCGUUGAUGUUCCAGUUCCAGCUCAGCUCACGUCCCAGCCUCUCUGGUGACUGCAACAGAAACUUUCCUGCCAUGAACUCUCACUUGAGAUUCCAGCAUAUGAAACAUCACACAGGACAGACACUAUGCUGGGAGAAGCCGGGCUGGAAGGCCUAGGUCACCACCCACUCCACCACUACAUACACUCUCUGCACUAAUACACACCCAGUGUUGUGAUUAUGACUGAUUUUUAUUUCUGCUCUGUACUAUUCUCUAUGC